rnacentral:rRNA from 1 species
AUGAACGCUGGCGGCAUGCCUAACACAUGCAAGUCGAACGAAUUACCUUCGGGUAGUUAGUGGCGCACGGGUGCGUAACGCGUGGGAAUCUGCCCCUUGGUUCGGAAUAACAGUUGGAAACGACUGCUAAUACCGGAUGACGACGUAAGUCCAAAGAUUUAUCGCCGAGGGAUGAGCCCGCGUAGGAUUAGGUAGUUGGUGUGGUAAAGGCGCACCAAGCCGACGAUCCUUAGCUGGUCUGAGAGGAUGAUCAGCCACACUGGGACUGAGACACGGCCCAGACUCCUACGGGAGGCAGCAGUGGGGAAUAUUGGACAAUGGGCGAAAGCCUGAUCCAGCAAUGCCGCGUGAGUGAUGAAGGCCUUAGGGUUGUAAAGCUCUUUUACCCGGGAUGAUAAUGACAGUACCGGGAGAAUAAGCUCCGGCUAACUCCGU